rnacentral:rRNA from 1 species
CCAAACCCCUAUGUGAACCUAUACCAAACGUUGCUUCGGCGGGAACGCCCCGGCUCAGCCCGGAACCAGGCGCCCGCCGAGGACCCCCAAACCCAUGUUUUCUUACAGUUUUUUCUGAGUGGCAAACGCAAAAUAAAUUAAAACUUUUAACAACGGAUCUCUUGGCUCUGGCAUCGAUGAAGAACGCAGCGAAAUGCGAUAAGUAAUGUGAAUUGCAGAAUUCAGUGAAUCAUCGAAUCUUUGAACGCACAUUGCGCCCGCCAGCAUUCUGGCGGGCAUGCCUGUCCGAGCGUCAUUUCAACCCUCAGGGUCCCUCCGCCUCGCGCGGUCGGAGCCUGGUGUUGGGGAUCGGCCCGCCCCGCGCGGCGCCGUCCCCCAAAUACAGUGGCGGUCCCGCCGCAGCCUCCCCUGCGCAGUAGUUAUCAACUCGCACUGGAGCGCGGCGCGGCCACGCCGUAAAACCCCCGACUUUCUGAACGUUGACCUCGGAUCAGGUAGGAAUACCCGCUGAACUUAAGCAUAUCAA